rnacentral:misc_RNA from 1 species
GAUGAAGAACGUAGCGAAAUGCGAUAAGUAAUGUGAAUUGCAGAAUUCAGUGAAUCAUCGAAUCUUUGAACGCACAUUGCGCCCCCUGGUAUUCCGUGGGGCAUGCCUGUUCGAGCGUCAUUUACACCCUCAAGCUCUGCUUGGUGUUGGGCGUCUGUCCCGCUUUAUGCGUGGACUCGCCCCAAAGUCAUUGGCAGCGGUCGUGCCAGCUUCUCGCGCAGCACAUUUGCGUUUCUUGAAGUUUGGUGGAUCAGCAUCCAGUAAGCUCUUUUAUGACUUGACCUCGGAUCAGGUAGGGAUACCCGCUGAACUUAAGCAUAUCAAUAAGCGGAGGA